rnacentral:tRNA from 1 species
GGGCCCGUGGCGCAACCGGAUAGCGCGACUAGGAAACUCGUAAGGCUUCGGACCAGUUGGUUGGGGGUUCAAAUCCCCCCGGGCCCG